AGUGAACGCUGGCGGUAGGCCUAACACAUGCAAGUCGAACGGCAGCACAGUAAGAGCUUGCUCUUACGGGUGGCGAGUGGCGGACGGGUGAGGAAUACAUCGGAAUCUACUUUUUCGUGGGGGAUAACGUAGGGAAACUUACGCUAAUACCGCAUACGACCUACGGGUGAAAGCAGGGGAUCUUCGGACCUUGCGCGAUUGAAUGAGCCGAUGUCGGAUUAGCUAGUUGGCGGGGUAAAGGCCCACCAAGGCGACGAUCCGUAGCUGGUCUGAGAGGAUGAUCAGCCACACUGGAACUGAGACACGGUCCAGACUCCUACGGGAGGCAACAGUGGGGAAUAUUGGACAAUGGGCGCAAGCCUGAUCCAGCCAUACCGCGUGGGUGAAGAAGGCCUUCGGGCUGUAAAGCCCUUUUGUUGGGAAAGAAAAGCAGCAGGUUAAUACCCCGCUGUUCUGACGGUACCCAAAGAAUAAGCACCGGCUAACUUCGUG
rnacentral:rRNA from 1 species